UGCAGAUCAGCUGGAUCUGGAGGGUCUUGGGGCGUAUCCAAGACGAGCCAACAGAUUUCCAGAAGCGAUGACCAAACAUCGUCACUGAGGACUUUUCUCUGAGACAAUUAAAAAACAAUAAUUAAAAAUGGAGAGAAACACAGUAAACACCACUCUCAGAUAAAAUCGAGCUUCGGAGCAUCCCGGCAGGUCCACGUGGGAAAUCCACCCUCCUCCAGCCACUGCAUGCCCAGGCCAGGGGGGCAGCUUAGAAGCUCCAAGCUCCAGCAUCAGCUCUUCUCCAUUGGUUUCUGGAAGAAGCCAUUGAGUCCCAGCAGCCCGCACAGCCGGCGUCACUGCAUCCUCCAGAUGAGGCGGAUGAUGUAAUGCAGGAGGCGCAGAAUGACAACCUGGGGGUUUCCAGCACGGUUAUCCAAGAAACCCUAGGAGGGAAACGGGGCGGAAAGUAAGGAAGUGACUUGAAUUCCCAGCUACCGUGAGUUGAACAACUCCUGCACGUGAGGAAGAAGGUGGCCCUGGCACCUUCCUCACUGCAACUCCGAGCUUUCUCCCUACUGCUGCCACUAUGAGGAAAGGUCUACAUUUACCUACUGAGCUUGCUUCAAGGAGUUCAAGACAGAUAAGACCACAAAGUUUGCCCCAGGGGGUGGCCAAAAUGCACUGAUUCUAGUUAUUUGCCACUGCCAAGGGGAUGCAGAGGGAAAAAGCACAAAAACAAAAUCAAGAGAACUCAACAACAUCAAGCGCCUCAGUACUGGACGAGCCACCGCUGGCAUCCCAGCCAGCACCAAACCAAAACUGCUGCAAGAUGAGCAGUUCCCUGUCCCCAGCCUCAGGGAUUAGUAUUUCCCCCCAGCACAUUCAUAAAAUGGGCUCAAUUCAAGUUCACUGAAGCCAACUCAAGAUUUCUUCUGAGCAGGAGAUAAUCCAACACAAAUAGGGCAAAUACCCCAAUGCCUUCAAGCAAGGCUGAGCACACAGUUCUCAGCUCUUGCUAACACUGGAAACUGUGAGAUUUCACAAACUAGAAAUCACGCAUUUUAUGGUUUUACCAAGAAGUAAACCCAGCCUCCUUUCAUGUUGGCUUUCGAUGAAAAGCUUUAUAGUCCUCAGUGGGCCAAAGCUGCCUCCUCCCUGCCACAUCUGCUGUGAAUGCUCAGACAGGACAUCACGCCGACUCCCUCACCUGGGUGUGGGAUGCACAUAACGCUGCUUGAGGCCGCAAUGUGGAAGCAAGCAGUAAGCCCUGCUAGGAGAAGCUGGGACGUAAUAACAAUAAUACAAAACCCAACUAGAAAUGAAGACCCCACAGUAGGAAGAGCAGUGGCAGGAGAGGCAGGUUCCCACUGAUGGUGGUGGCCAUGGCUUCAGCUCUGAUGGCUCAGGGUGCAGCCACUGCAGCAGAGCACUCCUUUGAGCACAGGAUCAGUAUUUCACAGCAACAUUCAAAGAGCAUUUACUUUUGGGUCCUUUUUCCCUCCCCAGCCCCAGCAGCAAAACAGAAGUCCCAGCACCACCACCUCUAGUUUCCCACGCUGUCAGAGCAUGGUGCAGUUUGGGCUAUAUUUAGUGCUGCAGAACCAUGUCUGUACAUGCCCUGCAGGGAGAAAUCAUGCUGCUAACACCGAUAUGCAAACUCCUCUCGCAGGCACAGGGGCACACAGAGCGCACUGUCCCCCCCAGAGGAUGCUCAAGCAUUCCACAGCCAGGUGGAGAAGGGUGAGCAGCACAUUUUCAGCUCACCAUGCAUCCGCUGUGCGUGGAGCUGGGUUUCCAGGCAGGAGAGCACAGCAGCCACUCCCGCUUGCUCAACCUCUUUGUCAAGGGGGAUUGAUGCUGAAUUACCCAAUUCCCUGUGUUGUUUUUGCCCUGGGGAGCUUUUAAGGGGAGACAGAACACAGCCAGGCUGCUUUUGGGGACCCCAUGCUGGCGUCCCAGCCAGGCCCUUGUCCCCAGGGCCUCCAGCUGGGCACACUGGGGCAGAGGAGCAGUGCCGACCCGUCCGACAGCCCCGACCUGUCUGGCAAGCACCGUUUUGGCACUGCUGAUCUCCCCAUUUCCACCCGUGCUCAAAGGGCAAACCCAAAUGAACCCGCUGCGAAUGGAGGGUGAUGGCAACAAGGGCUGCCAGCAAAACCUCAUGUUUACCCCCUUCCCUGGUGCUGUGCUGCCAAUUCAGCUCUGCAAGCAUGAGCUUCUUUAGCAGCAAGCUACUCACAGAAGGAAAAGGCAACUUUUCAGGGAGCAAUAGCCAAGCACACUGGGGACAAUAAAUCCACAGCAAUUACUUAAAUGCUCUGAAAGCCGUUUGGUUCUGGAUGCAACAGACAAGAGGAAUUCAUCAGACUAAUUAAGCCUGCGGGAAGCGAUACUACUUUGCCCUUACACUCUCCAACAAGCCCUGCUGCAACCCUCACCCACGUGCACAGCAGGGAAGGAAAACAAGAGCAAAUCCACAAGGGAAGCUGCUGACUCCAGAGCAGGGGAAAAACUCAUGAACUCAAAAAGAAUGAGCUGGUAAGAGAGCAGAAGCAAGAGUGCCUGUGGGGCAGCACCAGGACAGGCACCCAUUCUGGGGAGAGCUUCUGCCGUGCAGACUCUGGACACAGUGAGGAAGUGACUCAUGAGCUGGGGGGAUGAAUAAAGAUGUGGGCAGUCAGCACAUCAUCACCAACAUCUCCUGCCUCCUCUUCCCACAGGUAAGCCAAGGGAAGGGGAGAUGGACUAGAAACCACAUGUACAAACAUGCAGUUAUGAACAAUGGAUGGGAGCGGAGGCAUCCAACGAGACAAGGAGCGCGGCUGUUUCUGCUGCACUAAGAAGAAAGCCACAAUUGGACACAGUGCACUCAGAGCAAACUUGAGGACUUUUCAUCCCCACGAUGGGGCUGGAAGGUUCUGCUCUUCAAUAUUAUGUUCCAGCACUUCAGCAGAAAGUAAACCAGGCACAAGAAAACAGCACUGGCUUAUAAAGGAGGAAAAAAAAAAAAAAAAGAGCUAACGUAUCACUUAUGCUGAAUAUACAGCACCAAGCCCUUCAGUCUCCAUUUUAAGUUCCUGAGCACAUGAUAAAAACCACGGGUACAAGCCACCAAAUAUUGGAGGGGAAAUGAGCAACCCCCGGUGCAGCACCUGUGCCCCCCUCCUGCCAAGGAAAGCUCAGAUUUGAGCAAGAAACACAGCCUAAACAUUAAAAAAAAAAGGUAAUAAAAAAAAUAGGAAACAAAACAACACACACACACCCCUCAAGAAAAAAAAAAACAGCACACAAAACAAAACAGAGCAUUUCACAAACUUGGCACCCAAGCUCCAAAGGACUCGUGAGGGAAUACAAAUAGCUUCCAAUCUCUAAAUAUUCAAAGGAUUAGUAGGG
rnacentral:lncRNA from 1 species